rnacentral:rRNA from 1 species
GCAGUCGAACGAACUCUGGUAUUGAUUGGUGCUUGCAUCAUGAUUUACAUUUGAGUGAGUGGCGAACUGGUGAGUAACACGUGGGAAACCUGCCCAGAAGCGGGGGAUAACACCUGGAAACAGAUGCUAAUACCGCAUAACAACUUGGACCGCAUGGUCCGAGUUUGAAAGAUGGCUUCGGCUAUCACUUUUGGAUGGUCCCGCGGCGUAUUAGCUAGAUGGUGAGGUAACGGCUCACCAUGGCAAUGAUACGUAGCCGACCUGAGAGGGUAAUCGGCCACAUUGGGACUGAGACACGGCCCAAACUCCUACGGGAGGCAGCAGUAGGGAAUCUUCCACAAUGGACGAAAGUCUGAUGGAGCAACGCCGCGUGAGUGAAGAAGGGUUUCGGCUCGUAAAACUCUGUUGUUAAAGAAGAACAUAUCUGAGAGUAACUGUUCAGGUAUUGACGGUAUUUAACCAGAAAGCCACGGCUAACUACGUGCCAGCAGCCGCGGUAAUACGUAGGUGGCAAGCGUUGUCCGGAUUUAUUGGGCGUAAAGCGAGCGCAGGCGGUUUUUUAAGUCUGAUGUGAAAGCCUUCGGCUCAACCGAAGAAGUGCAUCGGAAACUGGGAAACUUGAGUGCAGAAGAGGACAGUGGAACUCCAUGUGUAGCGGUGAAAUGCGUAGAUAUAUGGAAGAACACCAGUGGCGAAGGCGGCUGUCUGGUCUGUAACUGACGCUGAGGCUCGAAAGUAUGGGUAGCAAACAGGAUUAGAUACCCUGGUAGUCCAUACCGUAAACGAUGAAUGCUAAGUGUUGGAGGGUUUCCGCCCUUCAGUGCUGCAGCUAACGCAUUAAGCAUUCCGCCUGGGGAGUACGGCCGCAAGGCUGAAACUCAAAGGAAUUGACGGGGGCCCGCACAAGCGGUGGAGCAUGUGGUUUAAUUCGAAGCUACGCGAAGAACCUUACCAGGUCUUGACAUACUAUGCAAAUCUAAGAGAUUAGACGUUCCCUUCGGGGACAUGGAUACAGGUGGUGCAUGGUUGUCGUCAGCUCGUGUCGUGAGAUGUUGGGUUAAGUCCCGCAACGAGCGCAACCCUUAUUAUCAGUUGCCAGCAUUAAGUUGGGCACUCUGGUGAGACUGCCGGUGACAAACCGGAGGAAGGUGGGGAUGACGUCAAAUCAUCAUGCCCCUUAUGACCUGGGCUACACACGUGCUACAAUGGAUGGUACAACGAGUUGCGAACUCGCGAGAGUAAGCUAAUCUCUUAAAGCCAUUCUCAGUUCGGAUUGUAGGCUGCAACUCGCCUACAUGAAGUCGGAAUCGCUAGUAAUCGCGGAUCAGCAUGCCGCGGUGAAUACGUUCCCGGGCCUUGUACACACCGCCCGUCACACCAUGAGAGUUUGUAACACCCAAAGUCGGUGGGGUA